UGGAAUGAUAAUUGAAGCUUUUGAAGAUGGUUAGCUGAAAGAGAGUGGGUUUUCUCCCCGGACAAAUCAACCCUGUAUGGAAACACUCAUGGAUAAGGAUAACUAUCGAUGUGCUGAAGGCACAUAAUAGUUAACCCGAUGCAUAAUUUGCAUAAUUUUCAAUUUGCAUCAAUAGGCAUAGAAUUUGUCCAAAUGAUAAUACAAAAAACAGCAUGAAAAGUAAGUUAACAAGACGGUACUCAAAUGAAAAACAAUUAGAUGAAGUGAAAAAAAUAGCACCUGGAGUCUUCAAAAAAGGAAAAAAUAGAAUGGACAAAUCAACCCUGUAUGGAAACACUCAUGGAUAAGGAUAACUAUUGAUGUGCUGAAGGCACAUAAUAGUUAACCCGAUGCAUAAUUUGCAUAAUUUUCAAUUUGCAUCAAUAGGCAUAGAAUUUGUCCAAAUGAUAAUACAAAAAACAGCAUGAAAAGUAAGUUAACAAGACGGUACUCAAAUGAAAAACAAUUAGAUGAAGUGAAAAAAAUAGCACCUGGAGUCUUCAAAAAAGGAAAAAAUAGAACCUUCCAUAGAAUCGAAGAAAUCGUGAUGUGAUGGAAUUUAUAUGAAGGUACACUGUAUGAACUAAUUGAAGGUCUGAAUCAGCUUUUGAGUUUUCAUUGAGUGUGUUGGAAUUCUAAAUUGGUAAAUAGGAACACAAUGUAAACAGCGUGAAAACUGGUCGUCUAUAUACAAAGAAGGAAAACCUAAAACAUCUCUACCAAAAAAGAACUUCAACCAAACAAAUUACCCUUAAGGGGCAGUACUACUCAACACCUACGAUUGUGGGCUGUGGCAAGUGACCUGUUGGUUUAAUUGAGAAGCAAGCAAGCUAAGACCAAAUACCACCAUCUUUAAGAAAAAGAAUAACAUUAUAUAAAUUGAUAUUAGAGCUUAUAUAAGCUCUUAUUCAAGUGUGG
rnacentral:lncRNA from 1 species